rnacentral:rRNA from 1 species
UACAGAGGUCUCAAGCGUUGUUCGGAUUCAUUGGGCGUAAAGGGUGCGUAGGCGGUGGGGCAAGUCAGGUGUGAAAUCCCGGAGCUCAACUCCGGAACUGCACUUGAUACUGCUUUACUAGAGUACUGGAGAGGAGACUGGAAUUUACGGUGUAGCAGUGAAAUGCGUAGAUAUCGUAAGGAAGACCAGUGGCGUAAGCGAGUCUCUGGACAGUUACUGACGCUGAGGCACGAAGGCCAGGGGAGCAAACGGG